CCUACGGGAGGCAGCAGUGAGGAAUAUUGGUCAAUGGCCGGGAGGCUGAACCAGCCAAGUCGCGUGAGGGAUGACGGCCCUAAGGGUUGUAAACCUCUUUUGUCAGGGAGCAAGGUGCAGGUCGGGACCUGCUGUGAGUGUACCUGAAGAAAAAGCAUCGGCUAACUCCGUGCCAGCAGCCGCGGUAAUACGGAGGAUGCAAGCGUUUUCCGGAUUUAUUGGGGUUAAGGGGUGCGUAGGGUGUGAGGUAAGUCAGCGGUGAAAUGCCCCCGCUCAACGGGGUGCAGGGCCAUUGAGACUGCCAUGCUGGAAUGCGGAUGACGUAGGAGGAAUGCGUGGUGUAGCGGUGAAAUGCAUAGAUAGCACACAGAACACCGAUUGCGAAGGCAUCUCACGAAACCGCGAUUGACGCUGAGGCACGAAAGCGUGGGUAUCAAACAGGAUUAGAUACCCUAGUAGUC
rnacentral:rRNA from 1 species